CAGUAGCCGCGGGAAUACGGAGGGUGCAAGCGUUAAUCGGAAUUACUGGGCGUAAAGCGCACGCAGGCGGUCUGUCAAGUCAGAUGUGAAAUCCCCGGGCUUAACCUGGGAACUGCAUUUGUGACUGCAAGGCUAGAGUACGGCAGAGGGGGAUGGAAUUCCGCGUGUAGCAGUGAAAUGCGUAGAUAUGCGGAGGAACACCGAUGGCGAAGGCAAUCCCCUGGGCCUGUACUGACGCUCAUGCACGAAAGCGUGGGGAGCAAACAGGAUUAGAUACCCCGUAGUCCCUGUCUCUUAUACA
rnacentral:rRNA from 1 species